GUGAAUCAUCAAAUUUUUGAACGCAAAUUGCACUCUCCUCGGAGAGUAUGCCGGUUUGAGGGUCAGCCUAUAAAAAAUCGACAUCGUAGCUGAUUCGCGGUGGCGUUCGUCGGAAACUAGGUCAUCUUAAAUCUUUUGGUUUUAAGCGACUUAAUAUUUUCUUUUUGGUUCUAUGAAAGUUUCUAAGAUUUAUUUCUUUACACGUUUAAGGUAUCGUUUUUUAUUAGAGGUUACCAUGAUAUCGGAUCGC
rnacentral:misc_RNA from 1 species